GUCCCUUUGGGGACAUUUGAUAAAAUUGGAACGAUACAGAAGAUUAGGAUGGGCCUUGUGCAAGGAUAACAUGCACAAAUAGAGAAAUUGUUCUAAAAUAA